rnacentral:rRNA from 1 species
GACGAACGCUGGCGGCGUGCCUAAUACAUGCAAGUAGAACGCAGUUGCGAACGGGUGAGUAACGCGUAGGUAACUGCCUGGUAGCGGGGGAUAACUAUUGGAAACGAUAGCUAAUACCGCAUACUACCAGAUGGACCUGCGUUUUAUUAGCUAGUUGGUGGGGGAAAGGCUCACCAAGGCAACGAUACAUAGCCGACCUGAGAGGGUGGUCGGCCACACCGGGACUGGGACACGGCCCAGAAUCCUACGGGGAGCAGCAGUAGGGGAUCAUCGGAAAUGGACGGAAGUCUGACCGAGCAAAGCCGCGUGAGAGAAGAAGGUUUUCGGGUCGUAAAGCUAUGUUGUAAGAGAAGCGGUAUCUUAACAGAAAGGGACGGCUAACUACGUGCCAGCAGCCGCGGUAAUAC